GAGAAAGGAGAGUCUUUCUCUCUUUCUCUCUUUUCUUCUAUCUCACCACUCUCUCUCCCUCUCUUGUAAUCUCUCCUCCAAAGAGAAAUUGGAGAAGAAGCUUGGUGGAGAGGAAGGCUUGGAGUUGAGCUACUACUUCUUCUUCUUCAUUGGCUCAAAAAAAGGAAGCUUUUGAGGUAUACGAACGCGUUGGCAAAGUCGGUUCGGCGAUUCGUCGAGCCGGUGCGAUGAUAUUAAAGAAACGGACGUUUCGGCUUCGUUUCCGCUUGAAGGGCCGAGGCGACGUCCAAAAAAUAAGAAUGGAUCCGGAGCAUUGUGGCAUCAAGUUAUAGACCUUUAAUUUUCGGAUUGCGGAUUGGUGGCCGUUUGGUGGUGGAGUGCGAGUUCGGGCCGAACCGGGCAACGGGUGCCGCGGGAGGCCGAUUGCAAGUGACUACAAGCAAUCGGAAUGCGAUAACAGAAUAUGCAAGAUAAGGGCCUGAUUGGAUGGUUACUUUUUUGGAGUAAAGUAUACCUAUGCUAUGGGUGUAGGAAAAAAAUCCUAAGAGGUGUUUGGAUGCUUCAAAAACACCCCAACAAAAUAGGGUAUAGUUAAACUACACCCUAAAAAACAGAGUAAAAGUAACCUCUAAAAUUUUCUCUGGAAAAAAAAUUACGCUAUUUUUUUUGGGCCGCAUCCCCACUCGCCCGACUUUCUCUGGUGCUUCUCUCUCCCUCCUGUUGCCCUCUCCACGCUUCCUUCCAUCCUCUCUCUCACCUGAGCCGCGUCUCUCUCACCUCAGCCACCGCCGCCACCGUGGAUCUCGGCCACCGCCGUUGCCAUCUCUCAGGCUGUCGCCGCCGCUCUCCGCUGCAAUCUCGUGCAUUGCUACCGCCGAAGUCACGAUCACCUCGGCUGCCGUCGCCACCGCACUAACCUCGGCCACCAUUUUCUUGCCUCGAUCUUGUCUCGCCCUUCUCGCCCCUCGCCUUGCGAUGGCCGGAGAAGGGCAGCCCCAUUUCCCUCCUCCAACAGGCAAUGAUGCAAAAAAAACAAACACGAGCAAAAUGGACGGAUGUGCAUAGAACCCAUUUAGUUGAACUUUUACAAGAACAUAAUAAAGAUAAAUGGAGAGAUCAAAAUGGAUGGACUAAAGAGGCAUGGCACAUUAUUCAUAAGGCAAUGAGUAUUAAAUUUCCCCAUUCCAAUUAUACAGUAGAACAAGUGAAAGAUCAAGAGCAACAAUUGAAAAAGCAAUUUAAAGUUGUGAAAAGCUUAGUAGAGAUGAGUGGCUUCGGUUGGGAUGGAGAUAAAAAAAUGGUUUCUGCUCCAUCAGAAGUUUGGGAACCGUUGAUUAAUGUUCACACAUGAGCGGCACAGCGGCGCGAGGAAAGGGCGUAGCUCCGUAGAUAGUGCCCUACCACCGAGACCAGAAAUAGCAUUACCCCGAGUCGGCUUAGUUAGGGGUUGUAGAAAAGAUGUAAAACAAUGUUGUAAUAAUUAUGUUAAGAACUUGAUGGUAUUUUGAAGCUAAAAAGAGAAGAAAAAGUGUAAUAUGUGAUGAAAAAUGUAAUAUGUGAGUUGAAUGCAUGUAA